AGGGCGUAUGGGGAAUGCCUAGGCACACUCCGGCGAAGAAGGACGCAGCAAACAGCGAAAUGCGACGGUGAGCGGUAAGCACGUGAAGAGCCGUCGAUAUCCGAAUGGGGGAACCCACACGGAGUCAUAUCCGUGUAUCACAUGUCGAAUACAUAGACAUGAUGAGGCGAGACGCAGGGAACUGAAACAUCUAAGUACCUGCAGGAAGAGAAAAUAAGAAUGAUUUUCUGAGUAGCGGCGAGCGAAAGGGAAAGAGCCCAAACCGAUCUGAGGAUCGGGGUAGUAGGAUCAUCGAGAAAUCAAACAGAGGAUCAUAGAGGAAUCACAUGGGAAGGUGAGCGAGAGAGGGUGAGAGCCCCGUACUCGAAAUGAGAGACUGGAGAGAGAUGACACCUGAGUAGGGCGGGACACGAGAAAUCCUGUCUGAAUCAGCCGGGACCAUCCGGCAAGGCUAAAUACGAGAGAGUGACCGAUAGUGAACCAGUACCGUGAGGGAAAGGUGAAAAGAACCCCGGGAGGGGAGUGAAAGAGAACCUGAAACCAUAUGCCUACAAGAAGUCAGAGCCCGUUAAAGGGUGAUGGCGUGCCUUUUGUAGAAUGAACCGGCGAGUUACUGUAUGGAGCGAGGUUAAGCAGGAUAUGCGGAGCCGAAGCGAAAGCGAGUCUUAAGAGGGCGCGAGUUGCAUGCAGUAGACCCGAAACCGGGUGAUCUAGCCAUGACCAGGUUGAAGUUGGGGUAAAACCCGAUGGAGGACCGAACCGACCCCCGUUGAAACGUUGGCGGAUGAGUUGUGGCUAGGGGUGAAAUUCCAAUCGAACCCGGAGAUAGCUGGUUCUCCCCGAAAUAGCUUUAGGGCUAGCGUCGAGAGAAGAGUUGCGUGAAGGUAGAGCACUGAAUAUGUGAUGGCCCCAUCUCGGGGUACUGAGCAUAAUCAAACUGCGAAUGUCACGCCAACAUGCUCGGCAGUCAGACAGCGGGUGAUAAGGUCCGUUGUCAAGAGGGAAACAGCCCAGACCAUCAGCUAAGGUCCCAAAAUGUAUGCUAAGUGGAAAAGGAUGUGGAGAUGUACAGACAACUAGGAGGUUGGCUCAGAAGCAGCCAUCCUUUAAAGAGUGCGUAACAGCUCACUAGUCGAAUGACUCUGCGCCGAUAAUUUACCGGGGCUAAGCAUACUACCGAAGCUAUGGAUCCCAAGGGAUGGUAGGGGAGCGUUCCAUGAACGGAGAAGUACGACCGAAAGGACGUGUGGAGAUCAUGGAAGAGAGAAUGCCGGUGUGAGUAGCGGAACGUGGGUGAGAAUCCCACGCACCGAAAACCCAAGGUUUCCAGAGGAAGGUUCGUCCGCUCUGGGUAAGUCGGGACCUAAGGCGAGGCCGAAAGGCGUAGUCGAUGGACAACAGGUAGAGAUUCCUGUACCCGUAUAUAUGUGAAGGAAUGACGGAGAGAGGAAGCUGCAGCCAGCGGCUGGAAGAGCUGGUGCAAGCGAGAUAUCGGGAUGGCAGGCAAAUCCACCAUCCGAAACGAGAAGGCGUGAAGCGUACGGAAAGCUACGGCGAGUACGGAAGGCAGUGGAGGAACUUCCAAGAAAAGUUUCUAGCAUAAGUAUAUAUGGCCCGUACCGAAAAUGGACACACAUGGGUGAGGAGAGAAUCCUAAGGUGAGCGAGAGAACUAUAGCUAAGGAACUCUGCAAAAUGACUCCGUAACUUAGGGAGAAGGAGUGCUCAUAGAGAUAUGAGCCGCAGUGAAACGGCCCAAGCGACUGUUUACCAAAAACACAGCUCUCUGCUAAGCCGCAAGGCGAAGUAUAGGGGGUGACGCCUGCCCGGUGCUGGAAGGUUAAGGGGAGGGGUUAACGCAAGUGAAGCCCUGAACUGAAGCCCCAGUAAACGGCGGCCGUAACUAUAACGGUCCUAAGGUAGCGAAAUUCCUUGUCAGGUAAGUUCUGACCCGCACGAAAGGCGUAACGAUUUGGGCGCUGUCUCAGCUGUAGACUCGGUGAAGUCUUAGUACCUGUGAAGAUGCAGGUUACCCGCGACUAGACGGAAAGACCCCAUGGAGCUUCACUGCAGGUUGAUAUUGGGAUUUGAUGCAGCAUGUACAGGAUAGGUAGGAGGCAAAGAGAUGGAUACGCCAGUAUUCAAGGAGCCGCUGUUGGGAUACUACCCCUGUUGUAUUGGAUUUCUAACCGGACGACGUAGAGCCGUUGACGGGACAGUGUCAGUCGGGCAGUUUGACUGGGGCGGUCGCCUCCCAAAGAGUAACGGAGGCGCCCAAAGAUACCCUCAGCUUGGAUGGAAACCAAGCGCAGAGUGCAAAGGCAAAAGGGUGUUUGACUGCGAGACCUACAAGUCGAGCAGGGACGAAAGUCGGGCUUAGUGAUCCGGCGGUGCUGAAUGGAAAGGCCGUCGCUCAACGGAUAAAAGCUACCCUGGGGAUAACAGGC
rnacentral:rRNA from 1 species